AUACCGAUGGCGAAGUGACCAACACAGUGGCCUUUAGUGCCACAGGCUUCAGGUUCAAAUCCUGAUGAUGGGAUG